CUAAAGGGAGUCUUCCUGAGUCUGUUAUCUUCUGCCAGGGUUAACAACAUGGGAUUAUGAUCAGAGAUGUGUGGCAUUCCAUAUACAGUGUGUACAUGGCUCCACUUCAUCAUCCACUCAUAAUUACCCAACACUCUAUCUAAUCUGCUGCACACUCUAUCAUUGCCACUUUGCUUAUUGGUCCAAGUGAAAUAAUCUCCUUUCCAUGGGAGUUCAGCCAGACCAGCCUGCUGGAUACACUUAGUAAAAUCUGCAGUCUCAAUUUGUUUAACUUGGUGACUGAAUUGCCUAUCAUUACCAGACAUAAUGGCAUUGAAAUCUCCUGCUAUUAGCCAGGGGUCAGUAGUAACAGUAGCAAGAUCCUGUGUCUUCCACAAUGUCCUCAUUUGAUCAAUGUCAUUGAAGCCAUAGACCACUGUUAGACAGCUGAUAAGUCCACCAGUGAGGGUCCUAACAGAACAAUGGAUGUAUUGAGCUUCCUCCUGUAAACCAGUGAUCAAGUAUUUUGUAGCAUCCCAUAAAAUCCAAAUUCUACCAUUCAUUGCACCCCUGCAGUUAGUUAGUACACUCCAAUUAGGCAACAAGAAGCUAGAUAUUCUUUCUGCAUUCUUUUGUUUAACCUUUGUCUCUACCAAACCAACAAGGUCAAAUUUAUUGAUUCUAAGGUAUUCUUUGGCUUCCUUUUGUUUGUACCUUUUAUUUACACCCCCAAUAUUCCAAAUAACCACUUCAUCAGGUAUUACUGGUUCCCCCUUCAUCCAGGGGAUGGUCUGCCCAACUCACUGACCCAACUUCAAAUCUAUUAGACAUCACUAAAGGGGAUAAGGGUGGAAAGUUUGUGAUGUUAAAGACCGGAGAACUCUGUGUAUCAAUACCCUUCUGUUUAUUCAAACCUUCACCUAAAGCAGCAUGGAUACAUGGUUCCUUUUGGAGGCUGGGCUGCUGUAUUUGAGAUCCCUGGUUACUCUGGUCAACGGGGGCAGGAGCUUUAACUCUCCAUUGCUGUGUCACCUUAGGCUUCUGUAUGGGGUUCUUUUGAGUAGCUUUGGCCAGACAAUUGUGCCCCACCAUCAGGCAUUUCUCGCAAUAUGAAGGUUUCCAGUCAUAGGUCACAUCUUGCAUAAAAACUCUUCCCAUCUGGAUCCAGUAGCUCAAUCUCACUAGGCAAUUCCUUUGAUACAUUCACCUCAAUAAGCAUACGAGCAUAUGAGAUUCUGGUUUGCUUAGUCAUACACUCAUCAGCAAAAAUGGGUUUAUCCAACACACUUGCAAUUCUACUCAAAGACCUGCUGCCGCAACAUGACAUAGGCAGGUUAGGGAACUUGAUCCACAGAGGAAUUUCCGUAGGGAAGGCAGCUUUAAAAUCAAAAUCAGCAGACCAUUGCUUCAAGAUCAUAGGUCUGUUCGCAAUAGAGUAUGGUCCUGCACAUAGGACUUCCUUGGCAUCAUCCAGGGAUUGAAAUUUGACAAUAUAGUAGAAGAUGGAUAGUAUAAAGCUGGGCUGCUAUAUUUGAGAUCCCUGGUUACUCUGGUCCACGGCGGCAGGAGCUUUAACUCUCCAUUGCUGUGUCACCUUAGGCUUCUGUAUGGGGUUCUGUUGAGUAGCUUUGGCCAGACAAUUGUGCCCCACCAUCAGGCAUUUCUCGCAAUAUGAAGGUUUCCAGUCAUAGGUCACAUCUUGCAUAAAACUCUUCCCAUCUGGAUCUAGUAGCUCAAUCUCAUUAGGCAAUUCCUUUGAUACAUUCACCUCAAUGAGCAUACGAGCAUAUGAGAUUCUGGUUUGCUUAGUCGUACACUCGUCAGCAAAAAUGGGCUUACCCAACACACUUGCAAUUCUACUCAAGGACCUGCUGCCCCAACAUGACAUAGGCACGUUAGGGAACUUGAUCCACAGAGGAAUUUCCGUAGGGAAGGCAGCUUUAAAAUCAAAAUCAGCAGACCAUUGCUUCAAGAUCAUAGGUCUGUUCGCAAUAGAGUAUGGUCCUGCACAUAGGACUUCCUUGGCAUCAUCCAG
rnacentral:lncRNA from 1 species